GUUAACUGCAUGCAGCCCAGUAUGCUCAUUGAAAUUGAAGUUAUCGGAAGUAAACAUAAUGUGGGGAGACAAUUGUUAUAGAAUAUCAAGUUAGGAACUUUACAAAAAAAGCCAAGGAACAUGCAUGAACAAAUCAUGUUAAUGUAAAAGAAAAUAUGACGUUCCUUGUGGUACAUUUGUAGCAAGUGUCACCUUGGUCCAGAGUAACAAAAUAGGAUUCAGAUAUACAAUUAAACAAAUAUUGAAUGUCAAUUGUUCGCUUAUUCACUUUAUUCAUCUAUUUGUAAUAAUAACAAUUUGUAUAACUAAAAAUAAAGAUUUUGAUAAAUGUUUGUUUAAAUUUAACCCAUAUGAUCCCAAAACAUGUCUGCUCAG
rnacentral:lncRNA from 1 species